rnacentral:rRNA from 1 species
UACGUAGGGAGCAAGCGUUGUCCGGAAUCAUUGGGCGUAAAGCGCGCGUAGGUGGCCUCGUAAGUCCGCUGUGAAAGUCAAAGGCUCAACCUUUGAAAGCCGGUGGAUACUGUGAGGCUAGAGUACGGAAGAGGCGAGUGGAAUUCCUGGUGUAGCGGUGGAAUGCGCAGAUAUCAGGAAGAACACCUAUGGCGAAGGCAGCUCUCUGGGACGGUACUGACGCUGAGACGCGAAAGCGUGGGGAGCGAACAGG